GGGUCGCGGAACCUGACGCGGGAACCCGGCUGGAGAUGGAGUUCGACUGCGAGGGUCUGAGACGGCUGCUGGGCAAGUACAAGUUCAGGGAUCUAACUGUGGAAGAACUAAAGAAUGUAAAUAUGUUUUUCCCACAUUUCAGAUAUUCCAUGGACACCUAUGUUUUCAAAGAUAGUUCCCAGAAAGACUUGCUGAAUUUCACUGGCACUGUUCCUGUGAAGUAUCAGGGUAAUACAUAUAACAUACCAAUUCGUUUGUGGAUUUUGGAUUCUCACCCUUUUGCUCCUCCCAUUUGCUUCUUAAAGCCAACUGCAAACAUGGGAAUCUCAGUUGGAAAACAUGUGGAUGCUCAAGGCAGAAUAUACUUGCCCUACCUUCAGAACUGGAGCCAUCCUAAAUCUGUACUUGUAGGACUAAUUAAAGAAAUGAUUGCCAAGUUUCAAGAGGAACUUCCCCUGUAUUCUCUAUCAUCAUCUGAUGAGGCACAGCAGGUGGACUUGCUAGCCUAUAUUGCAAAAAUCACUGAAGGUGUCUCAGACAUAAAUUCAAAGAACUGGGCAAAUCAUGAGAAUAAAACAGUAAAGAAAAUUACUGUGGUUGGAGGUGGAGAACUGGGAGUUGCCUGCACUUUAGCAAUUUCAGCAAAGAGCAUUGCAGACAGAAUUGUCCUCUUAGACCUUUCAGAAGGGACUACAGGAGGGAUGAUGGACCUUGAGAUCUUCAACCUGCCUAAUGUGGAGAUCAGCAAAGAUUUGUCUGCCUCUGCUCAUUCCAAGGUGGUCAUCUUCACAGUUAACUCUUUGGGUAGCUCUCAGUCCUACCUUGAUGUAGUGCAGAGAAAUGUGGAUAUGUUCAGAGCCCUUGUCCCAGCUCUGGGACAUUAUAGUCAGCACAGUGUCCUGCUUGUUGCAUCUCAACCAGUGGAAAUCAUGACCUACGUGACAUGGAAACUGAGUACGUUUCCUGCAAAUCGAGUGAUUGGAAUUGGAUGCAAUCUGGAUUCACAGAGGAUACAGUAUAUAAUUACAAAUGUUUUGAAGGCACAGACUUCUGGAAAACCAAUAUGGGUCAUUGGUGAGCAUGGAGAAGACAAAGGUAAGAAAUACAUUUUUACUAGUUAUAUUGAUAACCUAAAUCACUAGUGACCAUUCUGUAAGUUUACCAUUAGGCAAAACUCCUCAGUCAAGUUUUAUAUUUCCUCAAAAUUAUUUUCUUAAAAUUUAAAACUUCUUGUGUGCUUUGAUGCCAAAAAUUAACAGCUGUUAUGUCUGGGAUAGAGGUAACUUAAAAAUUUGUACUUUUCUGUGUUUUCUAAUUUUGUCAUUAUGGGUAUGUAGUAUUUAUAUAAUUUUUAAGAAAAUUGUUUUAAGAAAAUACAGCAGUAUUUUAAAUCUGUAUAAAUCUGCACUGGCUACCUAGAAAGUUCAGUGCCGGAAAGAGUCAGACUCUAGAAUAAACCUUUACAAAACCUCACAGUGUAAUUCAAGCAGAAGUAUUUCUCAGGUUGAAAAUGCUAAACACUAAACACUAACCAAUAGAACCCUAGAAAAGGGUAGCAAACAAGAACUUGGAGCAGACGUAUUAGAGUAACGAAUGUCUAGGGAUUCAAACAGACCCACAACCUGAGUUUUCUCACUACUCCAUUUGAAUUCUGGUCCAUGUCAAUCUUUUGUUUAUCUGAUUAUUGCCAAUCUCCAAAUUAGUUUGCUCUUUCCCCUCUAGUCUACCAAAUUAAUAGUGAUAUUAACCAAAACUUACACAGUAUUUACUAUAUGCUUUCAUAUAUUAAUUCAGUCUUCCUAAAUCAUAUUCCUCUUUUCGAAAACUUUCACUGGCUUCCUCUGAAAAUCAUUAAAUUCCUUUACUUGGCAUUCAAGGAGUCCCAAAAUAUAGCCCUAAUCUUCCUUCUCUAUUAUAGUUAUGAAGGUAAUCAUGUUAUUGAAGAGCUGGAAGGGACCCAAGGGAUCAUCAAUUAUACUUUGUUUUAAGGAGUCAGAAAUGGAUGCAGGGAUGGUAAGAGUGACCUGCCCAGGAACCUAUAGCUUUCCUGGUCUAAGGACUAAAGCCCAGGUCUUGUGGCUCCCAGCCCCACCCUACUUACAGCUUUGCUUCAGCCACAGGGAUCUUUGCCCACUCCUUUUACCUCCUUCAUAAUCCCUUCUCCCUCUCUCUCAGCAAAUUUAAAUCUCAUCCUUCAAGGUCUCGGUCAGGCCCACCUUACGUAUACUAUGAAGCUUUUCCUGAUGACAUCACUCCACAGGGAUUUUUUUUCAGUCCUUUGAGCUAGAAGUAGUUGUUAGCUAUAUGGUAAUAAACCAUAUAUUGUCUCAUGAUGCUUAUUCUUUUGUGAAACUGCUGUUUAUUCUGAUCCAUUUUGAAUUUUGUGUUUACACUUUCUCCUUAUUAAAAGUGUAAAUUAUUAAGCUGUCUUCUAGUUGAAAAAGUCAUGCAUUCACAUCUCAAAAAAAUUAAAUAAACAAAAAGAUAUACAGUGAAAAUUAAGUCUCCUUUCUAUGCCAGACACCCAGUCCUCUUUCUGUAAAAACAAUCAGUUACCAGUUUCUUGUGUAACCUUACAGAAAUGUUCUGUGCAUAGAGAAGCACAUAUAUGAAAUAUAAAUCAUAUGUUAUUCUCUAUCUUGCCCUUUUACUUAUUGAUAUGACUUGGAAAUGAUUACUAUAUAUAUACUUCAUUUUUUAAAACUACUGGAUAUACCAAAAUUUAUUUAACCAGUCAGUCCCUCUAAUAAGUUACAAUUUUUGAAUGAAUUAGAAUUUUUCACAAUAUGGUUGCAUUAAUGUCACAAAUUGUAAAGAGAAAAUAAAGUGUGGUAUGACAAUAAAUAAACCUAAGCCACUGUGCUGACUGCUGUUAGAACUAUAUAGAUGUAUAAGAACCUGACCUUGUUUUUAGGAAGCUUAGAAUCUAAUAUGGGAAAUGACUGUAAUAGAAGGCAGUAUUGACUUGCUAUGAGAGAGGUCCAAGGGAAGUAGGAUAAAAACACAAGGAAGGCUAUGGUAAUUCUGUCUUCAGUUCUCAAGUGGGAACUAGAAAUAAGAGGUGUAGGUGCAUGUAAAUUGGGAUCACUUAAGUAUAAUAUGUAAUACUUGACACAUAAAAAUCCACACUCAAUUAUUAAGAACAGUACUGAUACCACUAAAGCUACCUAUGUAUUUCCCAACCCAUCUCCCUGUCUUCCAUUUAGAUACCACUGUCAGAUCACUUUUUAUCCUGUCUUCUACUUUGUGUCAGAGAUGUGGUAUCCAUGAAUUGGUAUACUUAGCUUGGGCCUGAAGCCAGAAAUGGAUAAGAGGCUCCCUCUGCUGGUUUCAUGUGUAGAUACCAACUGAUUAUAUUUUUGUGUAAGUGAUUCUACCACAGUAACAGCAAUUAUAAUUAUCUUAUAUUGAGUGGCUACUAUGUGUAUUAAAUGGUUUGCAUAUCUCACUCUGAGAAGGAAGUGGGUGAUUUUUCAGAUUAAUAGAUGAGGAAUGUUAAAACUCAGGUUAACUAGUUUGUUUGUGAUUAUACAUCUAGUAAGGGCAAAACUGAGGUUUGAACCCUGAUCGACUCCAAAGCUAUACUUUUUCUUGCUGUGACUUAAUUAGAUAAUUUAUCUAAAGCAUUUAAUACAGUGUCUGGCAUCAAGUAAACACUUGAUUAUUAUUACAGUAAUCAGCAAGAUGGUUAUGAAUAAAAAAUUGGCAAAAGAACAUGUAAAACUACUUUGAAGUAAAGCAACAUUAGGAUUUGGAAACAUAAUAAUAGCAGAUGUUGACCACAUGGGGUGGCCAAGAAGAAGUAAUGAGUCAUAACUCCCAGGUACAGCUAUCC